rnacentral:rRNA from 1 species
GACGAACGCUGGCGGCGUGCUUAACACAUGCAAGUCGAACGGAAAGGCCCUGCUUUUGUGGGGUGCUCGAGUGGCGAACGGGUGAGUAACACGUGAGUAACCUGCCCUUGACUUUGGGAUAACUUCAGGAAACUGGGGCUAAUACCGGAUAGGAGCUCCUGCUGCAUGGUGGGGGUUGGAAAGUUUCGGCGGUUGGGGAUGGACUCGCGGCUUAUCAGCUUGUUGGUGGGGUAGUGGCUUACCAAGGCUUUGACGGGUAGCCGGCCUGAGAGGGUGACCGGCGACCAUGCGACUGAGAGACGGAGCAGAGUGGUAUAGGAGGCAGCAGGCGGGAGCAUUGCCCAAUGAGGGGACGUGUGAGGAGGAGGCGCUGGGUGUGUAAAGAAGGUCAUGGGGGUGUGAAGCGCAGUAAGCUGAUACGAAGCGUGAUUGACGGUAAUGGGUGAAGAAGCACCGGCUAACUUCGUG